GAUGAACGCUGGCGGCGUGCCUAACACAUGCAAGUCGAGCGGGGGUAUUCUUUCGGGAGUAUCUUAGCGGCGGACGGGUGAGUAACGCGUGGGUAAUCUGUCUUAUACAGGGGGAUAACGUCUGGAAACGGACGCAAAACCGCAUGAGCUUGAGUGUUCGCAUGGACAUUUGAGGAAAGGGAGACCGGUAUAAGGUGAGCCUGCGUCUGAUUAGCUAGUUGGUGGGGUAAGAGCCUACCAAGGCGACGAUCAGUAGCCGAUCUGAGAGGAUAGACGGCCACAUUGGGACUGAGACACGGCCCAAACUCCUACGGGAGGCAGCAGUGAGGAAUAUUGCACAAUGGGCGAAAGCCUGAUGCAGCAACGCCGCGUGAGGGAAGAAGGCUUACGGGUUGUAAACCUCUAUCGACCGGGACGAAUAAUGACGGUACCGGGGUAAGAAGCACCGGCUAACUACGUGCCAGCAGCCGCCGUAA
rnacentral:rRNA from 1 species